rnacentral:rRNA from 1 species
GCGGGACACGUGGUAUCCUGUCUGAAUAUGGGGGGACCAUCCUCCAAGGCUAAAUACUCCUGACUGACCGAUAGUGAACCAGUACCGUGAGGGAAAGGCGAAAAGAACCCCGGCGAGGGGAGUGAAAAAGAACCUGAAACCGUGUACGUACAAGCAGUGGGAGCCUCUUAAUGGGGUGACUGCGUACCUUUUGUAUAAUGGGUCAGCGACUUAUAUUCUGUAGCAAGGUUAACCGAAUAGGGGAGCCGAAGGGAAACCGAGUCUUAACUGGGCGUUAAGUUGCAGGGUAUAGACCCGAAACCCGGUGAUCUAGCCAUGGGCAGGUUGAAGGUUGGGUAACACUAACUGGAGGACCGAACCGACUAAUGUUGAAAAAUUAGCGGAUGACUUGUGGCUGGGGGUGAAAGGCCAAUCAAACCGGGAGAUAGCUGGUUCUCCCCGAAAGCUAUUUAGGUAGCGCCUCGUGAAUUCAUCUCCGGGGGUAGAGCACUGUUUCGGCAAGGGGGUCAUCCCGACUUACCAACCCGAUGCAAACUGCGAAUACCGGAGAAUGUUAUCACGGGAG